UGGAUAGAAAGGCUUAUAGUAAGCUUCACCAUCGAAUGGUGAGUAAGAUUUAAAAAUUUCUAUUUAU
rnacentral:tRNA from 1 species